CACUCACACUUUAGAAUCCGGGCAUCAACGAUGUGAGAAACGACAUGUGACGGGCUUCGGGCACAUGGGCGUAUAAGGAGCUACCGAAUUCGGCCGGCUGUUCGUUUCCAGCCGGAGGAGGGAACAGGAGGGAGAAAGUCCCUCCACAAUAACGGACUAUGAUAGUAGAAGUACAGGGAAUGGGCUUUUGGACACGGGUUCGACUCCCGUCUACUCCACUC
rnacentral:tmRNA from 1 species